UGGGGGAUAUUGCACAAUGGGCGAAAGCCCGAUGCAGCGACGCCGCGUGGGGGAUGAAGGCCUUCGGGUUGUAAACUUCUUUUGCUCUGAACAAGGCAUGCCUUUGGGGUGUGUUGAGUGUAGGGGUUGAUUAGCGCCGGCUAACUACGUGCCAGCAGCCGCGGUAAUACGUAGGGCGCGAGCGUUGUCCGGAAUUAUUGGGCGUAAAGGGCUUGUAGGUGGCUGGUUGCGUCUGUCGUGAAAGCUCAUGGCUUAACUGUGGGUUUGCGGUGGGUACGGGCUGGCUUGAGUGCAGUAGGGGAGGCUGGAAUUCCUGGUGUAGCGGUGGAAUGCGCAGAUAUCAGGAGGAAUACCGGUGGCGAAGGCGGGUCUCUGGGCUGUUACUGACGCUGAGGAGCGAAAGCGUGGGGAGCGAACAGG
rnacentral:rRNA from 1 species